rnacentral:lncRNA from 1 species
UGAAGGGAUGGUACAUUGUGAUGUUUUUCUUCUGUCACUAAGCUUGAUAACAUCUCACCAACUGUAGCAGUAAUGUACUGAUUUUUUCUGUAGGUUGUGUUUGGCAAUCGAAUAGAAAUUUUGCUGCUGAGGUAUGAAGGUAAGGACAAAAAUAUUGCCUGUUUUUUGUUUGCCUGGUUGUGUUCAUAGUCCAUUUUAAGCCCAUAUAAUUUUAUGUGGUUUUGAACUGUAUUCACCUGCAUCUAGAAAUAGAAGUUUAAUCUUCUUUCAUCCUUUGAGUGUGUGCUAAAGUUUCUGAUACCUGGAAGUUUUUAUCACAUCAUGCAAUAAUACAAAAAUCAGAAAAGUUCAGAUAUUAUGCAUCAUUUUUUUGGUAAAGACAUUACACAUCGCCUCCCGGGGUAUCUCAAAGGCUAUUACAACAAUUUGAU